rnacentral:lncRNA from 1 species
AAAGAUGCACCACUGUUUCGUUGCCCAAUCAGAAAUCUUCUAGAUGCUCGUCCCAACAACAACUAAUCAUUCUCCAUUUUCAGUCGGUUUCAUUCUCAGAAAAAAGCCUGUCUUCCCCAAAACUACAUAGAAUACAACUUUCCUCCCAAAAGACUUCCAAAACAGUACGCCCUUCUUUAAUCUGGUUCCCUUGUCUUCUCCGUAGCAAAACGACUUCUCGCAAAGGACAAAACACUCCCCACCAGGUAAAACUCCUCACUCCUUUUCAAAGAUUCUGUUGCAAAAGUAUGGGCUAGUCCAUUAGUAGAUCUAGGAACAUGCUUGAAAGUGAUUGCUUGAAAACAUUUUUUUCGUUGAUGAAUAUCCUAAAUGUAAGCCCCUAUAUGUGAUUUAUCUGGAUAUUGUGAUUGACAUUUCUUAAUAAUGGUUAAUGCAUCUCCCUCAACUUCUAUGUUUGACUUAAAAAUUUUAAGUAUGGAGUAGUGCUUAAAGUUUUUAUUAGACACAUAUUUGGCACGAAUUCAAACCGUACUAACCCAUCGUUUACUUUUAAAUUUGUAUUAAAAAAAUUCAAGUAUGACCUUUUUUCUAAAUAUUGUAAAUAAAAAAUGAAUUAUGAAAUUAGAUUAUUUUUAUCAUUUCCAUUUGUUGAAAUUGUAUAGGAAUAAAAUUUUUAAAAUGAUAUGUGGAGUUAUGCCUCGCAUUUUGGGCUAAACAGCGUGUGAUGUCGCAAUAAGGAAGAGUUCUUCAUCCCAUCACGACAAGAAGAAAACCCUCGUCCCAACGACGUGAUCCUCCUUCGUCCCGAUGACACGAUGCCAUGUCUCGACAUAGUGACGUGCAAAUCAAGUUUUUCGACUUUCUUCUCCCAAUUAAACUUUGUUUUUAGUUUACUCACUUAAAUUCUGAUUAUUCUAGGGUUGUUGUUGACAUAUAUGCUACGAAUUUCAGCCUAUAAAUAGGCAUUAGUUACUCUAGGUCUAUACACAACAAAAAUAUCCAGAUUGAGAGAAAUCUGUUUUUUAUUUUGAAGGGUUUUGUUUUUGGGCUUCGAAUUUUCUUUUAAUUCUCUCCAUCUACUCUCCUUUAUUAUAAUAAAAUCUCAUUUUGCCUGUGUUUUUUAUUCUUA